UUCAGAGCACACAGUGCAUUGACUGGUCAUAAGCCAAACUUCCACGACGUGGACAUCUUGGCUCAAGAGAACAACUACAGACGAUGAUUCACUCUCGAGAUGUUGCAGUUCAUGGACUUACCAUCCGACGAGAGAAUGAAUUUCAAAAAAGACGAAGAAAGCUGCGCGAAGGUAUUUCGCCACACAGUCAAAAAGCGCAGCAGAAGAGAACACUCAGUUGACAACAGACAAUAGUUCGUGUAACAACUCAUUAAAUACGGAGCCUACCGAAAUUUUGGAAUGAAAUAAAAGAAAAAAACAUUAAAUUUUUGUGCUUUCAUAGAUGCAUACGCUCACAAUGCAGCUACUAAGUGUACCAAGCUCGAUAAUCGAGGAUUUUUACAAUGGAAAAGGAAAACCUGAGAUCACCACACACACACACCAACCAAUAUGGUACGCUUUUCGUCAUUUGUUUAGAAUAACUCAUCGGCCCUAUUAGGUGUGGAGUCUUCAAGGGCCAUACAUUGGGGGUCGGAAAUGGAUAUUUCGAUGUGUUGCAAACGGAAUGACAAAAUGAAAAUGCCCCCAUGCUUCGGCGGUGGAUAUAAAAAUUAGCUG